rnacentral:rRNA from 1 species
AACCGUGGCGCAUGCCUUACACAUGCAGUCGAACGGCAGCAUGAUCUAGCUUGCUAGAUUGAUGGCGAGUGGCGAACGGGUGAGUAAUACAUCGGAACGUGCCCUGUAGUGGGGGAUAACUAGUCGAAAGAUUAGCUAAUACCGCAUACGACCUGAGGGUGAAAGUGGGGGACCGCAAGGCCUCAUGCUAUAGGAGCGGCCGAUGUCUGAUUAGCUAGUUGGUGGGGUAAAGGCCCACCAAGGCGACGAUCAGUAGCUGGUCUGAGAGGACGAUCAGCCACACUGGGACUGAGACACGGCCCAGACUCCUACGGGAGGCAGCAGUGGGGAAUUUUGGACAAUGGGCGAAAGCCUGAUCCAGCAAUGCCGCGUGUGUGAAGAAGGCCUUCGGGUUGUAAAGCACUUUUGUCCGGAAAGAAAUGGCUCUGGUUAAUACCUGGGGUCGAUGACGGUACCGGAAGAAUAAGGACCGGCUAACUACGUGCCAGCAGCCGCGGUAAUACGUAGGGUCCAAGCGUUAAUCGGAAUUACUGGGCGUAAAGCGUGCGCAGGCGGUUGUGCAAGACCGAUGUGAAAUCCCCGAGCUUAACUUGGGAAUUGCAUUGGUGACUGCACGGCUAGAGUGUGUCAGAGGGGGGUAGAAUUCCACGUGUAGCAGUGAAAUGCGUAGAGAUGUGGAGGAAUACCGAUGGCGAAGGCAGCCCCCUGGGAUAACACUGACGCUCAUGCACGAAAGCGUGGGGAGCAAACAGGAUUAGAUACCCUGGUAGUCCACGCCCUAAACGAUGUCAACUAGUUGUUGGGGAUUCAUUUCCUUAGUAACGUAGCUAACGCGUGAAGUUGACCGCCUGGG